AGGAACUACAACCACUGUCGUUGAAGGAGCAAUCGACGAUCGAUCAAAGAGAUCAAAGGCAAGCUUUUUGAAGUUGGAAUCUAUUAACAUUGCACAGAUAGACGACAAGAAUAUACCAAGAUAUGUCGUCGUGUGGAAUUGUGCAUUUCAGUUUGACUGUAUCAGGUGCAGUAGCUCUGACGGCGAAUGACACACCGUGUGUGAUCGAAUCGAGGGCUCAGAUAGAUGCUGAUCUAUGUAUCGAAGGUGAACACUCUGGGAGUAAAAGCCAUGUAGGCAGAGAUGCAACAGCAAAAGUUAGAGGGCUGAAGAUCUCAAAUAAGACAAACAUAGCUACAUUGCCAGCUUCUAGUAAGCACAUAAGUAUU